rnacentral:ncRNA from 1 species
AGCAACCUGUAAAAUGAUGCAGCUUCAUGUAGGAAUACAUGUCGAAAACUCUGUGAAUUCUGGGAAAGCUAAGUCUUAUGAUAUGCUAACCUCGGAGCCAAGCUUAAUUGAAGGUCUAGAGACUAUUAUGUAGGGGCACAAGCUGUUGGUGUUUCGAAGCGCAGAGCAACCAGAACGGUUGAUGAUAUAGUCCGACAACAUGAGAAAUCAUGGA